rnacentral:rRNA from 1 species
GAGUUUGAUCGUGGCUCAGGAUGAACGCUAGCGGCAGGCCUAAUACAUGCAAGCCGAGGGGCAGCACAGUUUUCGGACUGGUGGCGACCGGCAGACGGGUGCGUAACGCGUAUGCAACCUACCCGCCACAGGGGGAUAGCCCGGGGAAACCCGGAUUAACACCCCAUAAAACAGGGGCAUCACAUGGUGCUAUUUGUUAAAACUGCGGUGGUGGCGGAUGGGCAUGCGUCUGAUUAGCUAGUUGGUAGUGUAACGGACUACCAAGGCGACGAUCAGUAGGGGACCUGAGAGGGUGAUCCCCCACACUGGUACUGAGAUACGGACCAGACUCCUACGGGAGGCAGCAGUAGGGAAUAUUGGGCAAUGGGUGAGAGCCUGACCCAGCCAUGCCGCGUGCAGGAAGAAGGCGUUCUGCGUUGUAAACUGCUUUUUGAUC